GUUACAGCAUACACGUCGGAGAAUAUUUAAGAACGGUAAUAGCAGUCAAACUUUGAUGUGUCUGUGGACAACUAAUAUUUGUAUCUUCUGUAGCAUGUUCGGAAGUGUGAACGUGAUUCCAGACUAACACAAAACCUGCAAAACAAAACGUAAUGAAUUCUAAUCGUAUUGAUAUUUUUAUUCAAAUCCAAUACUUUUUACCGAUAGUCGUUGCUGUUAACGUAUCCGAUGUAUUUCUAAUAAAAAUAGAACUAUUGAAUAUUCCAUAA
rnacentral:lncRNA from 1 species